rnacentral:rRNA from 1 species
GACGAACGCUGGCGGCGCGCUUAACACAUGCAGGUCGAACGGAAAGGCCUGCUUUCCCUUGUGGAUUGCGGGUACUCGAGUGGCGAACGGGUGAGUAACACGUGAGUGAUCUGCCCCCAACUUGGGUAUAAGCCUGGGAAACUGGGUCUAAUUCCCGAUAGGACUGCAGGGUGGUGCCUGUGGUGGAAAACGAUUUUCUAGUGGUUGGGGAUGAGCUCGCGGCCUAUCAGCUUGUUGGUGGGGUAAUGGCCUACCAAGGCGGCGACGGGUAGCCGGCCUGAGAGGGUGGACGGCCACAUUGGGACUGAGAUACGGCCCAGACUCCUACGGGAGGCAGCAGUGGGGAAUAUUGCACAAUGGGCGGAAGCCUGAUGCAGCGACGCCGCGUGGGGGAUGACGGCCUUCGGGUUGUAAACUCCUUUCGACCGCGAGGAAGCCACCUGGUUGGAAGGGUGGUGACGGUAGUGGUAGAAGAAGCACCGGCUAACUACGU